AACGUAGGACGCAAGCGUUAUCCGGAGUUACUGGGCGUAAAGCGCGGGCAGGCGGCUCGAAACGUCUGAUGUGAAAUCUCCUCGCUCAACGGGGAGAGGCCAUUGGAAACGGUCGAGCUGGAGGGCAGUAGAGGUAGGCGGAAUUCCUGGUGUAGCGGUGGAAUGCGCAGAUAUCGGGAGGAACACCAGUGGCGAAGGCGACUUCCUGGCCUGUUCUUGACGCUGAGGCGCGAAAGCUAGGGUAGCAAACGGG
rnacentral:rRNA from 1 species